rnacentral:rRNA from 1 species
GAUGAACGCUGGCGGCGUGCCUAAUACAUGCAAGUCGAGCGAGCGGACGUGAAGCUUGCUUCUCUGAUGUUAGCGGCGGAGGGGUGAGUAACACGUGGAUAACCUACCUAUAAGACUGGGUUAACUUCGGGAAACGGGAGCUAAUACCGGAUAAUAUUUUGCACCACAUGGUUCAAAAGCAAAAGACGGUCUUGCUGUCACUUAUAGAUGUAUCUGGGCUGCAUUAGCUAGUUGGAAAGGUAACGGUUUACCAAGGCAACGAUGCAUAGCCGACCUGAGAGGGUGAUCGGCCAGACUGGAACUGAGACACGGCCGAGACUCCGACGGGAGGCAGCAGUAGGGAAUCUUACGGAAUGGGCGAAAGCCUGACAGAGCAAAGCGGCGGGAGUGAUGAAGGUCUUCGGAUCGGAAAACUCUGUUAUUAUGGAAGAAGAUAUGUGUAAGUAACUGUGCACAUCUUGACGGUACCUAAUCAGAAAGCCACGGCUAACUACGUG